UAAAAGUCAAAAGUUACAUAAUUGUCCAUGGUCAUGCAUUUAAUAAAUCUCUGUGACUGGAUUUGAACACAAGUCUUUCUGAACCCCAGUCAAUCACCCUAUCUACUUUUUCAUCUAGCUGACUAAUUGAAGCUCCAUUGUAAGCAGGAAAUAUUUUUUUUUUGUCUUUGUAUCUCCAGGUCCAAGCACAUUAUCUGGCACAUAAGAGAUGCUUGUUGAUUUCUCUUGUCAAUCACUGAUGAUAUCGAGUCAUUUUAUAAAUUUUAUGAAUGAACAAAUGGAGUUCAGAAGUUGAUAUGACUUUGCUAAGAUGAGAGGAGGAAAACACCAAAUCCAGGACCAUUUCCAUGUGUCCACAGAUACUUUUAAGGAGGACACUGAAAACCUACAGAAAAUACAAGAUGUUGAUGGCCUUGAGUUCUUGCCUUUGUAGAUCAGUUGAAUUGUCUGGGUGGAUAUUAAGCAUGGAAAAGAGAAGACUCAAAGGAGGUUCCUUUGAGGAAAUGACGAAUAUAAGAAAUACAGAGGAACCUUGGAAUAAUUGAAUGAACCAAUGUAGAACCAAGAGACUAGAACAUAAAAUGACUACAAAAAUAUAAACUAAAAAUCUCAAUAUAAAGUGGGGAUGAUUAUAGCCCCUACCUUUCAGGGUUGCUGGGAGUAUAAAAGGAGAUAUUUGUAAAAGACUUUACAAAUUUAAAGCAUGACAUAAAUACUAGCU
rnacentral:lncRNA from 1 species